rnacentral:misc_RNA from 1 species
UUAUUCAUAGAUUACUUUCUGCUGACUAAUGAUCAGUAAUAGCGUUGAUAUGUGUUUCAGUUACAAACAGAUCCUUUCUGUGACAAUAUUUUUGCUUGCUGAAUGAACUUGUACGUGAGAAGACAGAGAGAUAUAUUUCACACAAUGGUGUACAUUACUUUUCCGAGUACUCUUACAGAAGAAGAAGAAACACUAAAACAGAAAUAUGCUAAACUCCGCAAAAAGCGAAAAGCUUUACAAGCACUGAAGACUGCAAAACCAGAAUCACUGCAAAAGAAUGCAGAGCAGAGUGCAAAAAGAUCUGCAGAGUCAGCAGAAGAGGCAACAGAACAGGCCAAAAAACUGGUCCAGUCUGGGGCCAUUAAGGUUGGAUCAGGUUCCAGAGAAAAGAAAGGAUUUAAACGAUCAAAGAAUCUGGAAAAAAAAUUAAGGGAAACAGACAAGAGUGUAGGAUUUUUACCAUUUGACUCAUCUCACAGUGGGGAAGAGGAUGAGAAAACAGAAUCAAUCAAACCAAAGAUGAAAGGGCUGUAUGAAAGUUUUACACCUGCAGGAAGUUCAGAUUAUGAUGGAGAGAGCCGACGUAGUGGCCCCAGUAGGCGGGAUCGUGAGCCACCAGCAAAGGGUCAUACAGUUUUUGUACAUGGACAUGGUGUGACAGAGGAUAUUAUCAGGAAACAUUUCUCAAACUUUGGAAAUAUAGUCAAUGUGAGCAUUGAGCGGGAAAAAAAGUAACAAUGCCUUUGUAACAUUUGAAAAAAUGGAGUCUGCUGACCAAGCAAUAGCAAACGCAAAUGGAUCCAUGAUGUCAGACAUACUGCUAAGAGUAUCCAUGGCGAUAAGGCAAGCCAACAUU